AGAGUUUGAUCAUGGCUCAGAAUGAACGUUGGCGGCGUGCCUAACACAUGCAAGUUGAGCGAGAAAGUUCCUUCGGGAACGAGUAGAGCAGCUAACUGGUGAGUAACGCGUAGGAAGCUGCCCUUCAGUGAAGAAUACCGUUGAGAAAUUAGCGUUAAUGCUGCAUACGUCCCUACGGGGAGAAAGGUGGCUUUAUGCUACCGCUGAAGGAUGUGCCUGCGUACUAUUAGCUUGUUGGUAAGGUAAAGGCUUACCAAGGCUAUGAUGGUUAACCGGCCUGAGAGGGUGUACGGUCACAUUGGGACUGAGAUACGGCCCAGACUCCUACGGGAGGCAGCAGUGAGGAAUAUUGCGCAAUGGACGAAAGUCUGACGCAGCGACGCCGCGUGGGGGAUGAAGGUCUUCGGAUUGUAAACUCCUGUUAAGUGGGAAGAAAAUCCGGUUCGCCGGGUAUGACGGUACCACUAGAGAAAGCGCCGGCUAACUUCGUGCCAGCAGCCGCGGUAAUACGAGGGGCGCAAACGUUAUUCGGAAUCACUGGGUGUAAAGGGUACGUAGACGGCUCAUCAAGCUUGUCGUUAAAUUUUCCGGCUUAACCGGAGACGAGCGGCGAGAACUGGUGUGCUAGAGGAUGGAAGAGAGAAGUGGAAUUCCCGGAGUAGCGGUAAAAUGUGUAGAUCUCGGGAGGAACACCGAUGGCGAAGGCAGCUUCUUAGUCCAUUCCUGACGUUGAGGUACGAAAGCAUGGGUAGCAAACAGGAUUAGAUACCCUGGUAGUCCAUGCUGUAAACGAUAACCACUAGACGUUGGACUGGUUUUACUGGUUCGGUGUCGAAGCUAACGCGUUAAGUGGUUCACCUGGGAAGUACGGUCGCAAGAUUAAAACUCAAAGGAAUUGACGGGGGUCCGCACAAGCGGUGGAACAUGUGGUUUAAUUCGACACUACGCGAGGAACCUUACCUGGGCUUGACAUGCAUUUGACAGUUGCAGAAACGCAAUCUUCCAAACUUUGUUUGGGCGGAUGCACAGGUGCUGCAUGGCUGUCGUCAGCUCGUGUCGUGAGAUGUUUGGUUAAGUCCUCUAACGAGCGCAACCCUUACUGCUAGUUGCUAUUCUCCUUCGGGGGAAGCACUCUAGCGGGACUGCCUGGGAAACCAGGAGGAAGGUGGGGAUGACGUCAAGUCAUCAUGGUCCUUAUGCCCAGGGCUACACACGUGUUACAAUGGCCGAUACAACGGGAUGCGAACCUGCAAGAGUAAGCAAACCCCUCAAAGUCGGUCUAAGUUCGGAUUGAGGUCUGCAAUUCGACCUCAUGAAGUUGAAAUCGCUAGUAAUCGCGCAUCAGCAACGGCGCGGUGAAUACGUUCUCGGGCCUUGUACACACUGCCCGUCACACCACGAAAGUUAUCUGUUCCCGAAAUCACCUUAACUAACCCGUAAGGGAAGGUGGGUGCUUAAGGUAUGGGUAGUGAUUGGGGUGAAGUCGUAACAAGGUA
rnacentral:rRNA from 1 species